AAUUUGCCAGUCCUGGGUGGGGGCAAAUCCUCGAGCUUGAUGUGUAGGGAAGGGAGGGGGCCAGAAUAAUCCAUGAGGAGUAGUAGAAUAGCAGAUGGAACACUGAGAAGUUAUUUCCUUGAGGAUAGAUUUCUACGAUGGAAAGGAAACGAAAGGUUCUAAGAGGUGGGCUAGUGGCUCGUACUAUAGCAUAACCUGCCUUUGCUGUUGUGUGGCGAUUAGGCCUGGUGGAAAUGCCAUCAAUAAAUCAAGCGUGAUCAGGGUGAGGAACAGGAAAGAAGGAAAUAUGGGGAAAUGGGGUGAAUAUCAGGUGGAUCAGAGAGAUACAGUCAUGGGUGUCAGGUGUGGUAUCAGGAAUAAUGUGGGAGGCUGGAUUGAAGUCCAGGCCAGGAACAAUGGUAAUUGUGGGACUUAACAAAGAGUGAGUACAGCAGAAAGUAUAUGCGUCAGGUAUGAGGAAGAAAAUAGAUUUUGGAAGUUAUGAGAACUGUACAGAGUGAGUUGAGCAUAGUUUGUGAUUUUGAGGGCUUCUAAAAGUAUUAAAGCAGUGGCAGCCACUGCACGCAGACGUGAGGGCUAGGCUAAAACAGUAAGGUCAAGUUGUUUGGAAAGAAAGGCUACAGGGUGUGGUCCUGGCUCUUGUGUAAGAAUUCUGACCACACUAACUAUGCCUAGGAAGGAAAGGAGUUGUUUUGUAAGGGAUUGAGGUUUGGGAGAUUAAUCAGACACGAUCAGCAGGGAGAGCACGUGUGUUUUUAUGAGAAUUAUGCUGAGAUAGGUAACAGAUGAGGAUGAAAUUUGGGCUUGACUGAAGUAAUGGGGGCUGUCUGUGAAGCUUUGCAGCAGUACAGCCCAGGUAAUUUGCUGAGCCUAAUGGGUGUCAGGGUCAGUCCAAGUGAAAGCGAAGAGAGGCUGGGAUGAGGGGUGCAAAGGAAUAGUAAAGAAACCAUGUUUGAGAUCUAGAACAGAAUAACAGGUUGUGGAGGGAGGUAUUGAGGAUAGGAGAGUAUAUGGGUUUGGCACCACUGGGUGGAUAGGCAAAACAAUUUGGUUGAUAAGGCAUAGAUCCUGAACUAACUUAUAAGGCUUGUCUGGUUUUAGGACAGGUAAAAUGGGGGAAUUGUAAGGAGAGUUUAUAGGCUUUAAAAGGCCAUGCUGUAGCAGGUGAGUGAUAACAGGCUUUAAUCCUUUUAAAGCGUGCUGUUAGAUGGGAUCUUGACAUUGAGUGGGGUAAGGGUGAUUAGGUUUUAAUGAGAUGGUAAGGGGUGCAUGAUCGGUCACCAAGGAGGGAGUAGAGGUAUCUUAUACUUGUGGGUUAAGGUGGGGAGAUACAAAGGGAGGAUGCAAAGGAGGCUUUGGAUUGGGAAGAAGGCAGCAAUGAGAUGCAGCUGUAGUCCAGGAAUAGUCAGGGAAGCAGAUAAUUUGGUUAAAAUAUCUUGGCCUAAUAAGGGAACUGGGCAGGUGGGGAUAACUAAAAAAGAGUGCUUAAAAGAGUAUUGUCUAAGUUGGCACCAGAGUUGGGGAGUUUUAAGAGGUUUAGAAGCCUGGCCGUCAAUACCCACAACAGUUAUGGAGGCAAGGGAAACAGGCCCUUGAAAAUAAGGUAAUGUGGAGUGGGUAGCCUCCAUAUUGAUUAAGAAGAGAACGGACUUACCCUCCACUGUGAGAGUUACCUAAGCUCAGCGUCCGUGAUGGUCUAUGGGGCUUCCAAGGCGAUCGGGCAGCAUCAGUCUUCAGCCAUUCAGUGGAGAAGAUCUGGGAAGGAGUCAGUCAGAGAGCCUUGGGCCAGAGUUCCAGGGGCUUUGGGAGUGGCUGCCAGAUGAGUGGACUUUUCGUGUGCUGUGUGGUGGAUGUGACUCAGGUCAUAGCCACUGCUCUGAAAAGUGAUGGAGUCAGGGAGCCAUCAUCCAGCCUCACCUCCUGGGUUGUCAACCUACAUUUUUGGAGCCAGCUCAUUCUUUGAGGUUUCUCUAAGUCCCCAUAUAUUACAAGAAUCUCGGAUACAUUACUUGAGGACAGUAUAGAUUCCAGAAGAGCUGCUAUUCAUGUUGACCAACAGUCUUAAGCAGAAAGAAAUAGCUUCUGGAAAAAUAACUAUAAUAUUGGCACAUUUCAGCAUCUCAAAGCAGAUUUUUGCAAGACGGUAAAUGACAACACAAGAUAUUUCAAUAAAAUGCCUACAUGUUGAAAGACCCUCCAACGGAAAAUAUACCAAGAGCAGAGCUACCUGAAAUAUAAUCUUAUUUCAUUGACAUACACUCCCUGGGAGAAAGUGCAACCCUUGUCAGAGUGGGCUCUGCCUUCCAUAGUUAUUCAGGAUCCCCUAGUGGAUGAAAGCCUGGUUAUCAGUCACACCAUCUGGAAUAUGUAAUUACUGUGGAAGAGGAAAAGACACACUACAGUGCAUCUUAAUUGCCUGGAAGCUGAAAGUGACAUAACUCAUUUCUGACCACAUCCCAUUGGCCAAUCCUAAUAGCAUGGCCCCAGCAUAACUGCAAGGGAAGCACAUGUAUUUGGUUAGCCCUCUGUACACAUGGUAAUUCUAAAAUUUAAUGUCCAAAAUUUUCCUUCUAUUCUACGUGAGCAAAUCCCCAAUUAUGUAAAUAAAAAACAAAAACCUCCAAACAAUGGGUCAUCUUUUGUUUCCCACAUUAUUUUGUAACUGAUAUUCAAUUCAUCAGAAAUUCUGUUAGCUUGAUAUAAAGAAUAUCCUGAAUUUGAUCACAUCUCACAACAUCUACUAAUACCAACCUCCUUCCUACUAGCUUUACAUACAUAGAAAAAUUCUUUUUUGUGUUAAAGUAAAUUUAAUUUAAAAUUACUUUUAAAUUAAAUGUUUUUAUGUAACAUGCAUGUCUGC
rnacentral:lncRNA from 10 species